GACGAACGCUGGCGGCGUGCUUAACACAUGCAAGUCGAACGGAAAGGCCCUGCGUUUGUGGGGUGCUCGAGUGGCGAACGGGUGAUUAACACGUGUGUAACCUGCCCUUGACUUUGGUGUAACUUCAGGACACUGGGGCUAAUACCGGAUAGGAGCUCCUGCUGCAUGGUGGGGGUUGGAAAGUUUCGGCGGUUGGGGAUGGACUCGAGGCUUAUCAGCUUGUUGGUGGGGUAGUGGCUUACCAAGGCUGUGACGGGUAGCCGACCUGAGAGGGUGACCGGCCACAUGGGGACUGAGGUACGGCGCAGACUCCUACGGGAGACAGCAGUGGGGAGUAUUGCAGAAUGGGCGGGAGCCUGUGGCAGCAGCGCCGCGUGCGGGAUGACGGGCUUCUGGUUGUAAACCGCUUUCGCCUGUGCCGAAGCGUGAGUGACGGUAAUGGGUAAAGAAGCACCGGCUAACUACGUG
rnacentral:rRNA from 1 species